UACGUAGGGUGCAGGCGUUAAUCGGAAUUACUGGGCGUAAAGCGUGCGCAGGCGGUUGUGCAAGACCGAUGUGAAAUCCCCGGGCUUAACCUGGGAAUGGCAUUGGUGACUGUACGGCUAGAGUGUGUCAGAGGGGGGUAGAAUUCCACGUGUAGCAGUGAAAUGCGUAGAGAUGUGGAGGAAUACCGAUGGCGAAGGCAGCCCCCUGGGAUAACACUGACGCUCAUGCACGAAAGCGUGGGUAGCAAACAGG
rnacentral:rRNA from 1 species